ensembl:lncRNA
AGGGCCGCUGCCGCCCCACAGGGCACCGAGACCGCGGGUCGCAGCCACCGACAGCACUGAUCGCAAGUCGAGAAGACUCCACUGCUGCACUCAGGCCUCAGCAGGAGCGAGAAACCAGCAAGUGACAGAUAGUGAUAGAUCCAGAGGGUCUUCUAUAGCAGGGAGAGGAAGAGGCAGAAGUUGGGCAGAGCUUCUGCUCUUGUCUCAGUUUAAUUUAGCUCUGAUUUUAAUUUCGUGUGCUGUCCCCAACACCCAUUAACCCAGGUAUUUGUUUUAGUGGCUUUGCAUAGCAACAGAGCAUCUAACUUAAUCCUUAUUACUUAACUCCAGCCGAUGUCUGAGCAGCAAGUGAAGAGUUCGGUUUUCUGAAAAGCAAAGCCAUCUACCAGUGUAGUUCCAUUUCUUAAAACACCUCCUAGGAAUUUGCCAGGGCUGGGUUUUGUGCCAUGUAAUGAUUUUGCUCUGACAAAUGGUAGUAAAAGGAAAGGGUGCAAAUGUUACACACCAAAAAGUGUGGAGAGAGCGCUAGGGUGCUGCUAGGCAGACACCUUGCUUCUGGUGUCUGAAGAAGACAGCAUAUUAAAAAAUAAUAUCAGUAGGAAUGCAAAGAAAUACAAAGAGUAGGGGGAAAAUCAACACAACAUUCAUAGAAGGAAGCCAUUGCAAUGUUAAUUAAGCAACUGCAGAAGAGAGACAAAAUUGAAAUGCAGUACUAUGAGCACACUGGAAACGUCGGCCCUGAACCAGAAGAAAGCUCUCCAUCCUUCGUAAAGAAGAAAGGCACAGUGUGCAAUUCCCACUCCAUCUAUGGAGAGUACAUUCAUAAACAUGUUCCUAAACUUCACUGAGAAAUCAGACUGCUGAAGGUUUGUAGAGAAUGUGCCAAUGGAUAUGAUUUAAUAGGACCUCAAUUCAGUUAUGUCAUUCCAAUGAAAUUCAGCUCUUCUUCCCACAAUGGAUGUUAUCCAUAUGAAAUGAGAGAGUUGCAAGAUCCCUGGAGUUUACAGCCCUGACAAUUCUCACCAUGAAUACCAUAGGGAAAAAAAAAAAAAAUCUUUCCAAAAGAUGCAUAAGCCCUCAGAUAAAAUUAAAUCAAAGUCAGUGUAAAAUACUAUCUGUAUUCAUGAAUGUAUUGACAGCUCUCAGCACUCAUUUCUGUGUCUGGGUGAGUCAGUGUCCUAUCUUAUUUAACUGAAUAAACAAAUUAUUGGUUUUCA